CCCUUGACAUUCCAUCCUGUGCCCAGCCUGUGACCGCACAGCACCUAAUGCACCUGUCAGUCACAGAGCUCCCAUGUCCGCUUGGCCAACAGCACCGAACUCCUGGAAAGCAGAAAGGACACAGAUACAUCUUCGCUGAGUUACCUACCACGAUUCGGGGGAGAAACAGUCCUCUCACACAAGCCUCGCCAGCUCCGCGGGGUAAGCCAUGUUGUUGCCAUUUUCAGCCACAGAAACUGAGGCUCAGGGAAGCAAUCCACGUCACCCAGUGUGUUGCCAUUGCAGCCAGAAGUGGGGAGGGCUGAAAGGGAGAAGGACGCCUUGUCAGUUAAAAGCAUGUUCUUUGGAGGCUGACGAACUGUGCUUGGUUUAAAUUCUGACUCUGCAACUUCUUGCCUGUGGAAUUCAGGCAGGUUCCUACUGGGAGGCAGUGUGGGGUAGCAGUUAAGAGCACAGGCCCUGGAAUCAAAUGUCAGUUCCGCCAUCUGCUAGUUUCAUGACCUUGGGCAAGUUCCUUUGCUUCUCUGCACCACCGUUUCCACAGCUGUAAAACAGGAUAAUAAUAGCUCCGACCGCAUAGACUUGUCAUGCAGAUUAAAUGUGAUAAUCCCCGUGGAACACUUAGCACAGUGUCUGGCCCGUGGGCCGGCUGUGUAUGAACGCGGACCUCGUUGACUCCAGCUCCACCUGUUCCCCAGCCCAUCACCCUUCAACCUGGUGGCUCAGUCAGCCCUUGGCGUAUGAAUACACUUAACCUUUGUGGCUCUGAGACCCGGAAAUGAUGAAUCAAGGUCCCACCUGGCUUUGGAGUGAGAACUGGGAUUGAAUUUCAGCAAGGAGAUCUGAGCCCUUCUCACUGUGGGAGGAAUACACUUCCUCACUCUGUUGAUGUUGGACUUAGCCAUGUGACUUGCUUUGGCCAAAAGAAUAUGUGUGGAAGUGACAAGGGGCAGCUCCAAGACACCCAGUAUCUCCAUUCCCACUUCUUGAGCAGCUGUCAUCGGCCAUGUGAACCUGAGUCCCAGACAGUGGGGGCUCCAUCAGCCUGCACUCAGAAUCAGAAGACACAUGAGGCAGCCCUGCACUCACCCUGCAGCCCGGAGCCCAGCCCAGCCCAGCCCAGCCCAGCCCAGCCCAGGAGAGCCCUGAUGAACCCCCGCUGACCUCAGAACCCCUGGCCUUGUGUCCCAUCAUCUUUCUCAGAUUCAGACUCGUACCCUUGGCCUCAGAGAUGGUUUUUAUAGCAGAAAUGCAGAAAUAAUAGAAAGAAAUUAACAUCAGUUUUUCCCUUAAAACUUUUUAUUGUACAAAAUUUUAAGUGUAUACAAAACUGGAAUAAUAUAAUGAACCUUCCCUGGCUUCCACAGUUGUCAACUCAUGGAUGAACUUAUUAUAUACCCAUCUACACCCCCGUCCCAUGAGUUUGAUGCAAAUAUCACACAUCAUAUCAUUUCACCUGUAAACAUUUCCUUAUGUCUCUCUGAAAGAUAAGAACUUUAAACAUGUAAUCAGGAUACCAUUAUUACACCUAAAAAAAUCAACAACGAAUUCUUAAUAUUGGCAAACAUCCAGGGUUGAAAAACACCCAAUUGUUGGAUAAUUUUAAAACAUAUGUGUUUGUUUGAAUCAAGAUCCAAACAAGGUUUAUAUAUUGCAUCGAUUGAGAUGUCUCUUAAGUCUCCUUUAAUGUGUAGGUUCUUUCACUGUCUCUCUCUUUUUGUAAGUGUGGGAGGUGGAAGAGAUAAGACUAGGAGAGACUUCCCCUUUCUCUGCCUUCAAUUUAUUUAUUGAAGAAAUGAGGCAUUUGUGUUGCAGAGUUUCCUACAGUCUGGAUUUUGCUGAUGGCAUCCCUGUGGUGUCAUUUAACAAGCCCCCUGAACCCUUUAUUUCAUGUGACUAGUAUCUUCAUAGAGUCAGGGUUAAGUGUUUUUUUUUUUAAGCAAGAAUGUUUCACAGGUGACAUUGUACACCUCUACCAGGAGGCACAUCACGUAUGUGAAUAUGUCUCUCUGUGAAAUUCCUAGCCAUGAAUGAUCAUGCCCUAAACCCAUUGUUUUGUUACAGGUUGCAAAAGACAAAAUGCGAAAUUCUAAUUCUUAAAAAAAAAUUUCGAUUUAUUAGCGGAAACAUAUGUAUCAAGAGACACUCCCUUAACCAGUUAGUUGGUUACAAUGAGAUUCAGUUCAUAUUGAAAAAGUCGAAAAAAUGCUUGAUUCUUUCCCUUUAUUUACCAAUAUCCAAAAUGUUGACUUGCUUCCCUAACAUGCUCAAAGGUAAUCCAGUGAGGUUUUCUUUUCUCCUCCUCCUCCCUUUUCUGAGUAUCAUUUUGAACUUCUGGAUUUUAAAUCUGUUUGAUUUUAAACCUUAUCUAUGCUUAAAUUGUCUCACCUUUGGUCAGCUAGAGCCUCUUCCAGUUGACUUCUGAGUCCUUUUGACACGACCUUGUAGCUUCCUUACUUUCUGGAAUGACAAGAUGUUUCAAGUUCAUAUUGUGCAUUUUUUCCCCCUAGACCUUGAAUAAGCCAUUUCUCCAAGGAGCCCUGGUCCUUUCGUAUGGGAAAUGGUAUUUAGAUCUUUCACAAUCUUUUCUCUAAGGGUGCUCAUGGCUACUGCAUUGGUAAUUGUUUCUAGGUCUUUUCAGCGGAUAGAGGUAAAAAAUUUUUAAGAGGUCUUGAGUUCAUGCUGAUAAUUUCGACUUCAAUUUAGAUUAUAGAGUUUUUGCUUAACUUGUUUGAGUUUAUCUUUGUAUUUUUUUCUUAUGCUGCUGUCUUAAUUUCUAAUGGCAACAACACUAGAUUUAUUUGCUUUAUACUAUAAUGUAUAAAAUCAUAAUUUUUACUGAUCAUAUAAUUAUUAAAAAC